rnacentral:rRNA from 1 species
AGAGUUUGAUCCUGGCUCAGGAUGAACGCUGGCGGCGUGCCUAACACAUGCAAGUCGAACGAUGAAACCGCCCCCGGGCGGACAUGAAGUGGCGAACGGGUGAGUAACACGUGACCGACCUGCCCCCCGCCCAGGGACAGCCCCCCGAAAGGGGGAUUAAUACCUGGUACUCCGGAAGCGGCGCAUGCCGCAUCCGGGAAAGCUCCUCGCGGCGGGGGAUGGGGUCGCGGCCCAUCAGGUAGACGGCGGGGCGACGGCCCACCGUGCCGACGACGGGUAGCCGGGUUGAGAGACCGACCGGCCACAUUGGGACUGAGAUACGGCCCAGACUCCUACGGGAGGCAGCAGUGGGGAAUUUUGCGCAAUGGGGGCAACCCUGACGCAGCAACGCCGCGUGCGGGACGAAGGCGUCCGCGUCGUAAACCGCUUUCAGCGGGGAACACCAAUCGAGGGUACCCGCAGAAGAAGCCCCGGCUAAAUACGUGCCAGCAGCCGCGGUAAUACGUAUGGGGCGAGCGUUAUCCGGAUUCAUUGGGCGUAAAGCGCGCGUAGGCGGAGCGCUAAGCGGGACCUCUAACCCGAGGGCUCAACCCCCGGCCGGGUCCCGAACUGGCGCUCUCGAGUGCGGUAGGGGAGAGCGGAAUUCCCGGUGUAGCGGUGGAAUGCGCAGAUAUCGGGAAGAACACCGACGGCGAAGGCAGCUCUCUGGGCCGAAACUGACGCUGAGGCGCGAAAGCUGGGGGAGCGAACAGGAUUAGAUACCCUGGUAGUCCCAGCCGUAAACGAUGGGCGCUAGGUGUGGGGGGGAAGACCCCCCGUGCCGCAGCCAACGCAUUAAGCGCCCCGCCUGGGGAGUACGGCCGCAAGGCUAAAACUCAAAGGAAUUGACGGGGGCCCGCACAAGCAGCGGAGCAUGUGG